rfam:Nomascus leucogenys chromosome 7b, whole genome shotgun sequence.
AAAUGUGACAGUCCUUUUAGAAUUUGUCUAGCAGGGUUUCUGGUGGUACCAGAAGAGCACCACU